AUGUCUCCCUUUGGCUGGAUUUUCCUAGUUGCAAUUUUAAAAGGUGUCCAGUGUGAGGUGCAACUGGUGGAGUCUGGCGGAGACCUGAAGCAACCAGGAGGGUCUCUGAAAAUCUCCUGUGUAGCCUCUGGGUUCACCUUUAGUAGCUAUUGGAUGAGUUGGGUUCGUCAAGCUCCAGGGAAGGGCCUGGAGUGGGUAUCACGAAUUAGUACUGGUGGCAGUAACACAUAUUACGCAGAGUCUGUGAAGGGCCGAUUCACCAUUUCCAGAGACGACGAUGCCAAGAACCUGCUGUAUCUGCAGAUGAACAGUCUAAAGACUGAGGACACAGCCAUGUAUUACUGUACAACGGACACAGUGAAGGGAAGUCAGUGUGAACCAAGACAGAAACUCUCUGUGACUGCCAACAGGAGAGGAUCCUGA